CCUACGGGAGGCAGCAGUGGGGGAUAUUGCACAAUGGGGGAAACCCUGAUGCAGCGACGCCGCGUGGGUGAAGAAGCGCCUCGGCGCGUAAAGCCCUGUCAGCAGGGAAGAAAAUGACGGUACCUGAAGAAGAAGCCCCGGCUAACUACGUGCCAGCAGCCGCGGUAAUACGUAGGGGGCAAGCGUUAUCCGGAUUUACUGGGUGUAAAGGGGGCGCAGACGGCGAUGCAAGCCAGGAGUGAAAGCCCGGGGCCCAACCCCGGGACUGCUCUUGGAACUGCGUGGCGAGAGUGCAGGAGGGGCAGGCGGAAGUCCUGGUGUAGCGGUGAAAUGCGUAGAGAUCAGGAGGAACACCGGUGGCGAAGGCGGCCUGCUGGACUGCAACUGACGUUGAGGCCCGAAAGCGUGGGGAGCAAACAGGAUUAGAUACCCGAGUAGUC
rnacentral:rRNA from 1 species